UAAGCAGAGGUUCAGAGUCUCUUCCCCAGAGCCCGUGCUAAGAAGACAAGCAGCACGUGUGAUGCUGUGUGCUGUGAAGCCAGCACAGGCAUGGCAGGCAGUUGGCUGGUCAGGGGCUUCUGCAGGGAGAGGCGAUUGUUGCCAAACUGGACAACACAAGCUCACUUUCCAGGGCCUGUGUGAUCGAAGGAGGUGACUGACAUGUGCAAACUUCCUCUAACUCUGGCGAGAGACACACUCAGCAGGAGAAGAAUUUGCUCCUCUUGGAGGAUGAAGGCAAGAAUCUGCUGAGACCAGUGGUAGAGAGCAGAGGAACACGUAAACCCCUGAAGGAUGGCUUUCCAUUCCUGAGAGUGCUUUCUAGAGGACACCCAACAGUGAGCUAACUGGGCCGGGGGUGGGGGAGGGAGAACAGAAGCUCCUCAUGACUUGGGAAGAUUACACAUGAAAACGUGGAUUGACUGGCUUCCUUAUGUCAUAUGAAGAUGGAAUUUUUUUUUCUUUCAAAUCAAUCUCUUAUGACAAGUAUCAGGGGAUCAUUUCAUGGAAAUCUAUGGAACCCCAACAAUCAGAGGCCAACACUCAAGUCUGACACCUCCCAGGCCAGAACUUUCUCAGACAUGUGGCAAGGAAAGCCCUCUUGGGCUCUUCUGAGUCACUCACCACAGAAACUUGGCCAUCGUUGGGACAUCCCCAUCUUCUGGAAGCAUAAUUUGGUUACUCAAAUGCACAGAAAGUUUUCCACUUGGGUAAGAUGGUAAUUGUGAGGCCCACCUUCUUCAACGGGACAACAGCACAUAGCAUACUUGGUACUCCAGUUUCCAAGGACCCAGGGGCUUCUUUGUUUUAAGGGAGUCUGUCUCUAGGUACAGUGUGCAGUUUGCGUGUGCUUCUCUUGAAUUCUCUUCAAGCAAGGAACUGUGGCACCACAGCCUACUGAGUGAGAUCACAAAGGCAGAGGGAGAGACUUUCUGUUGACCUUAACAGCAGUGGCCUGUCAAGCCAUCCCAAUGAGAUGAAUUUGAACUCUGAUGCUGUCAGUUACUCAUUGCUAACUCACUCCAACCUGGCAAGCUCUUCAAAUGUAACCGUCAUCUUCCAGCAAGGGGCUCACCCAGUAAGUGGGGAUGUAUCACAGCCAAAGGCACAACGCUCUGGCAAGAUCCUCGAAGUUUCCAUUUCUACUGUCAAUCUAAUCCAUGUCACCAGAUUUCUUUGGCUUUAAUGUCAUGGCUUUCAGUAUCAUUGACCCAAAAGCUUGCUAAUAUCUAAAAUCAGCGUAUCGAAUGUAUCCAUCUCAUCAUCCAGAAAUGUUUAAACAAAUGAGAGGGGUGUGUGACUUGAAGAUAGCUGGUAUGAAAGCAGAAGUGGGAACGAUCUGAGGGAUGAGAGGAAGUGGGCAGAGGAGAAAUGGGAGGGUUGUGACUCAUGUAUAUGCAAAUGCCAUCAUGAAACCCAUUGUGUGUAUGCUGACUAAAAGAUCAACUUACAGCAUGUUUUAAUAUGAAAAAUAAAAGGAAUGGGGGUUGAAAGACA
rnacentral:lncRNA from 1 species